rnacentral:lncRNA from 1 species
AUGUGCUUUCGCGAUGAUGGCUUCUUGUUAUUUCAGCCUCUGUGCCCCAGCUUUCCUCCGAGGACCACUGUGGGGCCUGGCCCAGAAAAAGUGCUGCAUGAGAGCUGCAGCGUGAGAGCCAGCUGCAGCCAUGUCAUCACCAGCUUUCAUCAGCCCCAGCUCUGCUGUCACCAUGGUUCUGGAAGCGCUCAGGUCACCUCGCUCCCGGUUGCUCUGACACAAAAGCAACAAGACACCGAGGGCUGCUUUGAGAAAAAGAAGCUGAAAUCCUACAGGAGAGCAAAUAGCGCAAAAGGGAGGCCCCCCCACUGCUGUCAACCCGUGUUAUGGCUCAACAGAUCCUGCCUUGUGAUUCUGCCCAGUGAGGAUGCCCUGUGGCAUAAGCUCACCAUAUGACUGCAUGCUGUGCACAUUGAGGUAACCAUGUGGAAGAGCUAAUUACAAGACAGGAAAUUAGAGCACGAGCUCAGAGGAAGCAAUCUUUCAGCAUGCAGCAAACCCAACCAUGCAGUACUUAGCAAGUGUGUCUCUGGAAAGAAAACUGUCUGCAUCAGAAGUACAUGGGCUAAAAAUCUCCCUUUCUCUCUCAACUUCUGCUGUUGCACAGCUCAGUGGAAGUCUAAGCAACAUUGUCUAAGAUAAAUAGGAGCCUCCCUCAUUAACAGUUCAGCAGGAUGCUCAAGCACACUCUUAAAUUUAGGCUCAUGGGUGAUCUUAACGACUUCAACAGGAUGGCUUGCAUACUUUUUAUUAGGCAUGUGAGUGAGAACCUUGCUGAGUCACAUCCAGAAGGUUCAUACUUUCUUCAAGAUCAAAGGCAGCAUGCUAGCUCCUACAGCCGAAUCCACAUGGCUGCACAUUAUUUGCUUUACACUGACUACAUUUGAGUGGGAUGAAGUCCAAUCUGCAAGCCAAAUUAAGCUCUCUCCCUCUUGUGUUCUUCUGUAUUUAUUUCUUUUUUUGUUGUUGAGCAUAUCAGCAGAAGAAGCUGACUUUUGACAAUGCAGAGAUUUGCAAAUGAAAUGCUGGAAUAGUUUGCAAGUUGCUACAGCACUAAAAUACUAAAAGGCAAUCUGCAAUACGGCUAAGUGAGAUGUUAAGAGAGUUAGAAUAAUGUUUUCACUGGCACUAAGACACCUAUGAUCCCCCACCCUGAGGUUUAGAAAGAUGAAAGUACACUCUGCCAGACAGCAAUUCCUUUUGACUUGAGAGUCUACAUUUACUACUGUUUGCUUUGAAAUCUCUAUAGCAGAAGGACAGAAUAGCAAAACAUCUUUGAAAUAUCUUCCUCUUCUGACCUGCCCCCAUCCAAAUUAUCACCAAAGCAAAGGCUGCACGCACCACUCUCCCUAGCUCAAAGAGGAGCUCAAACAAUGUCACUGUCACAAGAAAAUGG